AGCAGUGUAGCAUAGUGGUAAGGUGCUAGGCUUAUAACCAAAAGGUUGCCAGUUCAAUUCCUGGCUAGGAUGCUGCUG